rnacentral:tRNA from 6 species
UCCGGCUUAGCUCAGUUGGUAGAGCACCUGACUGUUAAUCAGGUUGUCGUCAGUUCGAGCCUGACAGCCGGAGCUA